GUGAUGUCGAACUCUUGUAG
rnacentral:miRNA from 1 species